GACGAACGCUGGCGGCGUGCCUAAUACAUGCAAGUCGAGCGGAUGACGGAGGAGCUUGCUCCUCCUGAUUCAGCGGCGGACGGGUGAGUAACACGUGGGCAACCUGCCCUGUAGAUUGGGAUAACUCCGGGAAACCGGGGCUAAUACCGAAUAAUCCUUCGGACCUCAUGGUCCGAUGUUGAAAGACGGCAUCUCGCUGUCACUACAGGAUGGGCCCGCGGCGCAUUAGCUAGUUGGUGAGGUAACGGCUCACCAAGGCCACGAUGCGUAGCCGACCUGGGAGGGUGAUCCGCCACACUGGGACUGAGACACGGCCCAGACUCCUACGGGAGGCAGCAGUAGGGAAUCUUCCACAAUGGACGAAAGUCUGAUGGAGCAACGCCGCGUGAGUGAAGAAGGUUCUCGGAUCGUAAAACUCUGUUGUGAGGGAAGAACAAGUACCGGAGUAACUGCCGGUGCCUUGACGGUACCUCAUUAGAAAGCCACGGCUAACUACGUGCCAGCCGCCGCAGUAACAC
rnacentral:rRNA from 1 species